GCAAGUCGAACGAAGUCUUCGGACUCAGUGGCGGACGGGUGAGUAACGCGUGAGAAUCUGCCUUCAGGAUGGGGACAACAGUUGGAAACGACUGCUAAUACCCAAUAUGCCUACGGGUGAAACCUUUUUUGGCCUGAAGAUAGCUCGCGUCUGAUUAGCUACUUGGUGGUGGUAUAGACUCACCAAGGCAACGAUCAGUAGCUGGUCUGAGAGGAUGAGC
rnacentral:rRNA from 1 species